ACACUUGCAGGCACGGGGCUCUAAUGAGGCACACGCGAUCCCGGCCCCUCAACUUUGCCUUCUCAAAAGAAAUGGUGAGAGGAUCACAUGAGGAGCUGGCACGGAGACCCAGGACCCUUGGACGUCGGAGGAGGCAUCGAACACAUAGAUGUGUGAACCCAUCCACUCUUGUCCUUGCUGAGACUUCUGUUUUUUGAUCUCUGAAAUAUCAAGCAACAAAGGAAGACCAGGAUUCCUUCUGAAGAUAACUGGUGAGCUAGACGAGUAAAGCAGAUCCAAAGCCACCGUUCAGACCUUCAGGAAUCACAGACCACAGCCUGUCUGUUGAUGUGCCUCAAAAGGCAACUUCUGUCUAACAGCAUUGCAUGAGAACACAGCUAACCAUUUGCUCAGUGCUUUCACUGUUUGCAGAGUGCAUCCUGGACAAGUGACAUCUCUCUUCCCUGCUUUGACUGUUUAGGUAGUCUUAAAAGGGCUAAAGCAAAUGACAGUAGUUAUUUUUUAUUAUUAUUAUUUUUUUAUGUUGUAUAUCUAUUAGUUCACAGUUUGAUUUGAUUUGAAGUCUGACUAUUGCCUCUUGGUACUUUAUGAGCUGACUCAAAAAGGUGAACGGAUAAGUAUGAAACUUGUACCAAAAGCAGAAGAGGAAAACAGCUAGCACAAGGCAUAUGGUGUGGCAGGAACAGCUGCACUAAGAGUCUUUUUUAUUUGUGAUUGAGUUAAUGAGAAAUAACUCAUAGAGGGAUGGUGGAAGUCUGAAGAGGUACCACAUUGUUGCAGCAAUGGCUUUUCUGGUUGCUUUUUAAAUAUUGGCCUGCACUAGUCUUUUCAACAGUGUUUACAUUACUGAAAACUGAAAAAAAUGCAUAAAUUCCAGGAAUAAGUUAGAAAUGCAUUUAUAAAUUUAUUCUCUAGAACUGUUCUAGAAAGAAUCUGUAAGUGAUUUCUGAAGGCUCCUCACAUUCAUAAAACCCCU
rnacentral:lncRNA from 7 species